ensembl:antisense Gm37020 predicted gene, 37020
GUUAUUUUUUGCUGCUAUUUUCAGUGAGGUCUAUUUAAUUGUCUACUCUUUGCUAUUAGGAAGAAACAAAGUUGGGUUUUGUACAUUUCCUUUUAUGACUUAUACUCUGGCUAGAAGUAAAUGAUUGGGUAGAGUGAUCAGAUUUUCUACCUAGAUGACGAAGCUGAAUGAAGAUAACGAUAGACUUCCUCUCACCCUGUGCCCUCCGUUCCUUGUGCUUCUGAUGCACUAACUGGGACCUUGGGAAGAUGGGCCAGAGCAGCGGGGGUAACAUCCUUGCAGCUUGUCUGAUGUUGGAGGAUUUGAUUGUUACAAAAAUGUGUUAUUACUGAACCUGGUAAAAAAGUUUGUCAUGAUGUAUAAACCGAGAUGGUUAUUAACUACGAGUGUUUUACCGGCUUGUGUGUCUGUGUACAACAUGAGGCCAGAAGAGUGCGUGUGAUCCCCUGAAACUGGAGCUAGUUGGUUGUCAGUUGACACGAGAGUGCUGGGAACUGAACUUGGGUCCUCUGGAAGAGGAGCAAGCACCCUUAAUCACUGAGCCUUCCCCGUAGCCUUAACUUCUAUUUUGUCUGUAAUAAGCCGAGGUAUUUGUUGGCAGUUAACCUCGUGACCCAGUAGAUGGCCCCAUACACAUUCACACAGGGUCAGCACUGAUUGGACUCCGGAAGCUAUUUGUCAUCAGGGAGGUGGGUUGGUAGGGCCUGGAAGAGUUCAAAGGAAAUAAUAGAGGAUGUGUACAUGCGUGAAAUUGUCAAAGAAUAAAUAAAAAUAACAAUAGUGGAUGGGAGAGAGGGCUCAGCACUUAAGAGCACUGGCUGCUCUUCCAAAGGAACAAUCGUCUGUGAUCCGGUUCCAAGGGAUCCGGUGCCCUCUUCUGUCCUCCAAGAGUACCAGGCAUGCAUGUGGUCCACAGACACACAUGCAGGCAAAAUGUUCAUACACAUAAAAUAAACGAUAGAACAAAAAAACAUUAAAAAUAAGUGUACCGA